rnacentral:lncRNA from 1 species
CCCACGUGCUGUUGCUUAGCUGCAGUUAGCAUGUCUGGCCUCUGCUACCGCAAAAACUGUAGAUAAUAGAACUGUUGCCUAAAACUCACCAACACAGCUUCCCCGACCGAUUAAGCAUCCACUUUGGUAGCUGCAUCUACAGUAAAAACAGGCAAGCACAGCGAGGUCUUCAAGUGAACUGUUAAGAAACAGAUUUGUUAAAGAUUAUACAUUUAUUACCGUUUGAAAAAGAAGCGUGUGCAACUCCGUCUCUCUCUCUCUCUCUCUCUCUCUCUCCGUCCCUCUACCACUGUAACCCACCUGCUGUCGGUUAGCUAGUCGUGAACCUGGAAGCAUGUGUUAACAGAACUAGCUGCAGUUUGCGGGAACCUUUCUUCUCUUCUUCAGUGGCAUUAACUGUUUGUCUGGACUCCGGGAGAGACUACAUUUAUUCAGAUACAUCUGUCCGAAGAAAGCAGGAGUGUGUCCUGAAAGAGUUACCGUAUCUCCCAGAAUGGCCUCAGGAGGUUUUAAACAUAUUGCAAUCACAAGUCUCUCCAUGAGGAACUGGCGGAUCUAAGGUAUGUGUCAUAUACACCUAAUGACUCUAAACUAUUUAAACAAUAGUGUUUGUAAAGAAAUUUUUACUUUAUAAAACUCUACAGCAUGGUCCUGCAGUUUGUGUGGUUAGAUCUGCAGAGAGCAGCUAGAGGCCUUGGCACAGUCAGAGAGGAAGUGUUAGGACCUGUGCCCAAAGGUUCAACUCCAGCACUCAGCCAACAUGGAAACAAGGUAUGUGUGUGUCAUCUGUCUAAAAACUAGGGCUACUCCCUACGUGUUCACACUAGUCAUUCUUCACCUGGCCAAAGUGACUGAUACCACUCAUACUUGAGCUAUAAUCAGUUAUUAUAUUAUACAUUUGAUUUCUGCUACUUCAUUCAAAAUCAAAAUACAAAAAUUACAUCAGAAAAGCACAGUUGCAUUUCUCGUGGCUCAGAGUAGUGCUCUUAUACCCUGAACAACUCCAAAACGAUGUUUUAGUACUUCUGCAUUGGUCUGUAGCAAUGCAACUUAGAACAUAGUCAUGUUCUGAUGCUAGGCUACUCUAAAACGGCACAACUGUAACAAUGCAACUUAUAAUGGUUAUGUUGUGAUGCUAGGCUACUCUAAAACGGCACAACUGUAACAAUGCAACUUAUACUGGUUAUGUUCUGAUGCUUGGCUACUGUAAAACAUCACAAUGCAUCAGGAAAGCACAGUUGCAUUACCUGUGGCUCAAAGUAGUUUUCUUUUGCCCUGAACUGCUCCGAAAUGGUGUUUUAGUGUUUCUGCAUUGAUUUCUAACAUUACAGCUUAUAUUGGUUGUGCCGUGGUUCAAACUAGUGUUCUUAUGGCCUGAAAAGCUCCAAAACGAUGUUUUGGUGUUUCUGCAUUGAUUUCUAAAAAACAGCUUAUAAUAGCCAUGUUCUGAUGCCAAGCUACUGUAAGACAGCUCAAUACACCCUAAAAGCUUAUUUGCAAGAGUCGUGGUUUAAACUAGUUUUCUUAAAGCCUGAAAAGCUCAAAUACAAUGUUUUACUGUUUCUGCAUUGAUUUCUAACAUUACAGCUUAUAUUGGUUGUGCCGUGGUUUAAACUAGUGUUCUUAUGGCUUGAAAAGCUCCAAAACGAUGUUUAAGUGUUUCUGCAUUGAUUUCUAACAAAACAGCUUAUAAUAGCCAUGUUCUGAUGCCAAGCUACUGUAAAACAGCUCAAUAGACCCUAAAAGCUUAUUUGCAAGAGUCGUGGUUUAAACUAGUUUUCUUAAUGCCUGAAAAGCUCAA